GGCCGCGCCCGGGCCGCUGCAGCGCCUGCAUCACUAUGCUCGGGCGAGCAGCCGCGGGUACCCGCUGUGCCAAGGGAGCCGAGGACUGUGCAGACGUAGUGAGAGGCGCCGCGGCCCUGCAGGGUGAAUGGCUCGGGCCCAUUGCACAAUCUCCGGUAUAAUUAGCCAAGGGCGGCGGUGCAGGGCUCAUCCCCCGGGCAGCAUACUCCGGGAUCAUUUUCCCUUUCGGUUGCAUGGCCGGGAUUUUAUUAAACAGACGAAAGGCCCCCGCCCCGCCUCCCUCCACGCUGGUGCAAGUAUUAUGAAUGAAACGCCAAGCCCGCUGCUACUGCGGUCGCCACUUCAGGUAGGAGGGUGGCUCGACCGUGCUCAGCAGCUCACCAAAGGCUCGGGUAUGCAUUUGCUCAGCAGAGUCAGAAUGCAGGAAGUAAUCGACGGAGCGAAGAAGGAAGCAUUCUUUGUGUAAAAAAUGUAACCGCCAGGGUUUGCCCCAAGUUUCAGUUUACAACUGUACAAGCCUCAGCCAGUUUAAGAAUGGGCUAUGCAAAGGGUCUUUUCGUCUGUGGCAGCUCACCUUCUAGCUAGCCGCAGCUCGGUGGGAAGAGCUGUUUCUGGCAAGUUACUACCCAAUUCUAGCCCUUCCCCCACCCACUCCAGGAAAGAUGGAGAAGGCUGACCUUGGGGUGCACUCCUGAACUCUUUAACAGGAAGCAAGUGGAUUGCAAAUUGGAUCCUGGCAGAGAGUCAGACCGAGAGGAGGAGAGGAGACAGAGAGGGGUCCUCCCCUAAUCUUGCGGAGGAUCAGAAUUUCUGAGUCAGGCUGGGUACGUGGCCCAGUUAGUAGGGUGCAUUGUAGCUUUUAUUGCGCAUGAAGCCCUAGGUUCGACUCUGCAGCCCCUCAUUAAUCCGGCCUGUAACCUCAAGAUCAUCUUCACCUACACGGUGAGAGACACGGGAGUCCUUAAGGUUUUCUCAGAGGAGACAAAACAAAUGAAUGAAGACUAAUUAAUUCAGAAACUGCAGCAACUGAAGCUGGAGCCAUGUCCGUAGUUAAAUGAAUUUUAAAUC
rnacentral:lncRNA from 1 species